UUCUGCAGGAAAAAAUGUUUGGUGGAUUAACCAUGAUAAGCACAAUCUACCACACCCCUUCUGUCCUUGCAAUCUCAUCAAGAUUUAAUUUUUGACUCAUAUAAAUGAUU